rnacentral:rRNA from 1 species
GGGGGAUAUUGCACAAUGGGGGAAACCCUGAUGCAGCAACGCCGCGUGAAGGAAGACGGUUUUCGGAUUGUAAACUUCUAUCAAUAGGGACGAAGGAAGUGACGGUACCCAAGGAGGAAGCCCCGGCUAACUACGUGCCAGCAGCCGCGGUAAUACGUAGGGGGCGAGCGUUGUCCGGAAUGACUGGGCGUAAAGGGCGUGUAGGCGGCCGAUUAAGUGUGGAGUGAAAGUCCUGCUUUUAAGGUGGGAAUUGCUUUGCAGACUGGUUGGCUUGAGUGCGGAAGAGGUAAGUGGAAUUCCCAGUGUAGCGGUGAAAUGCGUAGAGAUUGGGAGGAACACCAGUGGCGAAGGCGACUUACUGGGCCGUAACUGACGCUGAGGCGCGAAAGCGUGGGGAGCGAACAGGAUUAGAUACCCUGGUAGUCCACGCUGUAAACGAUGAAUGCUAGGUGUUGCGGGUAUCGACCCCUGCAGUGCCGGAGUAAACGCAAUAAGCAUUCCGCCUGGGGAGUACGGCCGCAAGGUUGAAACUCAAAGGAAUUGACGGGGGCCCGCACAAGCAGCGGAGCAUGUUGUUUAAUUCGAAGCAACGCGAAGAACCUUACCAUGUCUUGACAUCGAGGAAAAGGUCUAGAGAUAGGCUGUGCCUUCGGGCAUCCGAAGACAGGUGGUGCAUGGUUGUCGUCAGCUCGUGUCGUGAGAUGUUGGGUUAAGUCCCGCAACGAGCGCAACCCUUAUGGUCAGUUACUAACGGGUAAAGCCGAGGACUCUGACAAGACUGCCGGGGACAACUCGGAGGAAGGUGGGGACGACGUCAAAUCAUCAUGCCCCUUAUGACAUGGGCUACAAACGUGCUACAAUGGCGGCUACAAAGAGGAGCGAGACUGUAAAGUUGAGCGGAUCUCAAAAAAGCCGUCUCAGUUCGGAUUGUGGGCUGCAACCCGCCCACAUGAAGUUGGAGUUGCUAGUAAUCGCGGAUCAGCAUGCCGCGGUGAAUACGUUCCCG